rnacentral:rRNA from 1 species
UGGGGAAUAUUGCACAAUGGGCGAAAGCCUGAUGCAGCAACGCCGCGUGAGGGAUGACGGCCUUCGGGUUGUAAACCUCUUUUAGUAGGGAAGAAGCGAAAGUGACGGUACCUGCAGAAAAAGCACCGGCUAACUACGUGCCAGCAGCCGCGGUAAUACGUAGGGUGCAAGCGUUGUCCGGAAUUAUUGGGCGUAAAGAGCUCGUAGGCGGUUUGUCGCGUCUGCUAUGAAAUCCCGAGGCUCAACCUCGGGUCUGCAGUGGGUACGGGCAGACUAGAGUGUGGUAGGGGAGAUUGGAAUUCCUGGUGUAGCGGUGGAAUGCGCAGAUAUCAGGAGGAACACCGAUGGCGAAGGCAGAUCUCUGGGCCAUUACUGACGCUGAGGAGCGAAAGCAUGGGGAGCGAACA